UACGAAGGGUGCAAGCGUUAAUCGGAAUUACUGGGCGUAAAGCGCGCGUAGGUGGUGCGUUAAGUUGGAUGUGAAAGCCCCGGGCUCAACCUGGGAACUGCAUCCAAAACUGGCGAGCGAGAGUAUGGCAGAGGGUGGUGGAAUUUCCUGUGUAGCGGUGACAGGCGUAGCUAUAGGAAGGAACACCAGGGGCGCAGGCGACCACCUGGGCUAAUACUGACACUGAGGUGCGAAAGCGUGGGUCGCAAACAGGAUUAGAUCCCCCUGGAGUCC
rnacentral:rRNA from 1 species